CUGCGGCUCUGUCUCCACUGGCAACGCGGCGCGUGGGGCGAAACAUGAAAGGCACCCGCUUCUGCUCGUGAGCUUUAAUCGGCUUCUGCGUCUUAACGUUGUGUACACGCUCCUGUUGGUGAGCACCGUCAGAGGAUGCCGAGUGUAAACGAGAAGAGCCGAAAUGAGAGAGAGAGAGAGAGAGGAGAGAGAGAGAGAGAGAGUCUCAGUUACUAAAUUUGGGACACUCCAGGUUGCUUCCACCUACCAAAAGUAUGCCAGUAGGUGGAUUGACUACUAUUGCCUCUUGGACAGUCAUCUUUGAUGUGUAACUAACCUUCCAACACCAAGAAAAAUUGUAGUCAAUUUGUCUUCUGCUGCUGGUGGAUCCCUGAUUGCAGUCGAGGUGGGUAUACUGCUGCUCACGCCUCCUCCGGAACCCUUUUCACCCAUCUGCUAAUCAAGGUCCUUACACAGCGUUUGAAGACACCACCCACAUAGUCCGGUCAUCCCGCCCUAGCAGAAACGUGUCUGCUGCAGGCACUGCCUAUUAUGCCCCGCUGCGCCACCUGGACACCAACAAUUUAACCCUCAUUUUAAAAUGACCAGUUAUUAAGUCGAGGUUUUAUCUUCUCAUUCAAAAUCUUUAGUGUUGACAUUUUGAUUUGAAUUAAAGUCUUUAAUCUUAGUUGACAUUACAGCAAGUACGAUUUUAGUUGUGCAGUCUACAUUCGGAGCUCAACAAAAUCUACCCUUCAAAUCUACAAUAUUAAAAUAUAGUAAUAAAAGUGA